rnacentral:rRNA from 1 species
UACGGAGGGAGCUAGCGUUGUUCGGAAUUACUGGGCGUAAAGCGCGCGUAGGCGGCUUUGUAAGUUAGAGGUGAAAGCCCGGAGCUCAACUCCGGAACUGCCUUUAAAACUGCAUCGCUUGAAUCCAGGAGAGGUGAGUGGAAUUCCGAGUGUAGAGGUGAAAUUCGUAGAUAUUCGGAAGAACACCAGUGGCGAAGGCGGCUGCACUGGAUGCG